CAGACUUGGUAUAACUGCAGGCUCAAAGGGAAGAUCUACUUAGUAAAGACAGCUGAACUUGGUACUGCAUUGUAGGAAAACAUAAGGAGGAAAACUCGUUGAAUUUGCUCCCGGUUCACCAAACCCUCCCUACCCCAAGUCUUUCGGACAAUCUCACGUCUGUCAAAGUCUUCAACCACCGAUUUGAUAGCAAUGAGCAGAAAGGGACCUCCAGUGUGUCCGGGGCUUAAAAUGCGUGUUUGAGCUGCCUGGUGCCAAUGUCCAUCUGUAAAUAAAUGUGUUGCAAGUCAGCAAAGAGGAUUCAGCAACUGUGAA